rnacentral:tRNA from 1 species
GGGAAUGUGGCUUAGUGGUAGAGUGCUUGCCUAGCAUGCAUGUAACCCUGGGUUCAAUUCCUCAGUACCA